UUGCAAAACCCCACCUCCACCCGCAUACCAGGCGUCGAGAAGCGAAGCAAUAGCCGAAGGCAAAGCCGUGGCCGAGACGAACUUCAGAAGCGACGCCUACGGGAAGGGAGCGACGUCAGCGUGACGCCACUGUCGCCUGUCCGUGAUGGACCGGGCUUUCACCCAAGGAAGAUAGUGUUGGGGAUGCGAUGCCCUCAACAGGGGAAGCGGCGCCCAUGUGCGUCACCGUCGCCGAGACUUUCGCCCAAGAGCCCUCAGCACAGCGUCUGGCCGAAACCUCGAGACACAGCAAGCUGCCUCCGUCGUCGCCGCGGACCCAUCGUCCCGCACAAUGAUGAUUUUGGGGCGAUGCUGCGCUAG
rnacentral:misc_RNA from 1 species